UACGUAGGUGGCAAGCGUUGUCCGGAAUUAUUGGGCGUAAAGCGCGCGCAGGUGGUUCCUUAAGUCUGAUGUGAAAGCCCACGGCUCAACCGUGGAGGGUCAUUGGAAACUGGGGGACUUGGGUGCAGGAGAGAAGAGUGGAAUUCCACGUGUAGCGGUGAAAUGCGUAGAGAUGUGGAGGAACACCAGUGGCGAAGGCGACUCUUUGGCCUGUAACUGACGCUGAGGCGCGAAAGCGUGGGGAGCAAACAGG
rnacentral:rRNA from 1 species